UAAAUAAUUGAAUUUUAGUUGAAAUAUUAAUUUUUAUUUUUACUUAUAUAUAAAAUUUUUACUUUAAAUAAAUUUAAAUUUAAUAUAUAGAAUUAUAAAUGUAAGAAAUUACUAUUUAAAAAAAAUCAUACUUUGAAUAAAAAGUGUGCCAGCAAUUGCGGUUAUACACUUUCAUAGAAAUUAAUAAAAAACAAAUUAAAUAAGUUUAAAAUAUUAUUAAAUUUAAAAUUAAUAAUUUAGUAAAAUAUAUAAUUAAAUAAAAAUUUAAUCAAAAAUAAUAAUGAAUUUUAAAAAAUUUACAAAAAACUAGGAUUAGAUACCCUACUAUAAAAUAUAAAUGAAAAUUUUAAUUAUUAAAUGUUAAAUCACUAAAAUUAAAAAAUUUGACGGUAUUUUAACUUAUUUAGAGGAAUUUAUUUAGUAAUCGAUAAUACACGAUAAAAAAUACUUAAAUUUUAUAUUUAUAUACUUCUGUGUAUAGAAAUAAUUAUGAAAUUACAAUCAAUAAAUUUUUAAGCACACCCCAAGUCAAAGUAUAAUUUAUAUUUAAGAUAAUAAUGAAUUACAAUAAUAAUAAUUUAAAUUUAAUAAUAUAAUUUAUUAAAUAAAUAGAAUUUAAAUGUAAAUUUAUAUAAAUAUUAUAAAUUAAUUUUAAUUUUAAAAUAUGUACAUAUCGCCCGUCAUUCUCGUAAAAUAUGAGACAAGUCGUAACAAAGUAAUAAUACUGGAAAGUAUUAUUAGAUUUAA
rnacentral:rRNA from 1 species